AAAACAUCUUUUCUUGUUUAUUAUUUGAAAUAUAACCUGCCCAAUGAUAAUAAUUUUAAUGGCCGCGGUAUUUUGACCGUGCAAAGGUAGCAUAAUCAUUAGUUCAUUAAUUGUGGACUUGUAUGAAUGGUUGGACGAGACAUUAACUGUCUCAUUUUUAUUAUUAGAAUUUAAAGUUUAAGUUAAAAUGCUUAAAUAUUAUUAAAGGACGAGAAGACCCUAUAGAUCUUUAUUUAUACUAUAUUUAUUAUUUUUUGAUUAAAAUUUUUGUAAUAAUUAUUUUAUAUUUUUGGUUGGGGUGACAUUAAGAUAUAAUAAACUCUUUUUUGUUUAAUUCAAUUAUUUUUGUUUAAUUGACCUUUUUUUAUUGUUAAAAGAUUAAGAUACCUUAGGGAUAACAGCGUAAUUCUUUUUUAGAGUUCUUAUCGACAAAAGAGAUUGCGACCUCGAUGUUGGAUUAAGAUUAUAUUAUGGUGUAGGUGCUGUAAAUAUUAAGUCGUUCGACUUUUAAAAUCUUACAUGAUCUG
rnacentral:rRNA from 1 species